rnacentral:rRNA from 1 species
GGCUCAGAACGACGCUGGCGGCGUGCCUAACACAUGCAAGUCGAGCGAGAAAGCCCGCAAGGGUGAGUAAAGCGGCGCACGGGUGAGUAACACGUGGGUAAUCUGCCCUAGAGUCCGGAAUAACUCGCCGAAAGGCGUGCUAAUGCCGGAUGAGACCACGGGAGCCUCGGCUCUCGCGGGAAAAGGUGGCCUCUGUACACAAGCUAUCGCUCUAGGAUGAGCCCGCGGCCCAUCAGCUCGUUGGCGGGGUAAUGGCCCACCAAGGCUACGACGGGUAGCUGGUCUGAGAGGACGAUCAGCCACACUGGAACUGAGACACGGUCCAGACUCCUACGGGAGGCAGCAGUGGGGAAUCUUGCGCAAUGGGCGAAAGCCUGACGCAGCAACGCCGCGUGUGUGAUGAAGGUCUUCGGAUCGUAAAGCACUGUCGCGAGGGACGAAUAAGGGGCGGGUUAACAUCCCGUUCCGAUGACGGUACCUCGAGAGGAAGCACCGGCUAACUCUGUGCCAGCAGCCGCGGUAAUACAGAGGGUGCGAGCGUUGUUCGGAAUUAUUGGGCGUAAAGCGCGUGUAGGCGGCCUUGCAAGUUGGGUGUGAAAGCCCUCGGCUUAACCGAGGAAGUGCGCCCAAAACUACGAGGCUUGAGUGCCGGAGAGGGUGGCGGAAUUCCCGGUGUAGAGGUGAAAUUCGUAGAUAUCGGGAGGAACACCAGUGGCGAAGGCGGCCACCUGGACGGUAACUGACGCUGAGACGCGAAAGCGUGGGGAGCAAACAGGAUUAGAUACCCUGGUAGUCCACGCUGUAAACGAUGAGCGCUAGGUGUUGUGGGUGUUGACCCCCGCAGUGCCGCAGCUAACGCAUUAAGCGCUCCGCCUGGGGAGUACGGCCCGCAGGCUAAAACUC